UACGUAGGGAGCAAGCGUUGUCCGGAAUCAUUGGGCGUAAAGCGCGCGUAGGUGGCUUCGUAAGUCCGCUGUGAAAGUCAAAGGCUCAACCUUUGAAAGCCGGUGGAUACUGUGAAGCUAGAGUACGGAAGAGGCGAGUGGAAUUCCUGGUGUAGCGGUGGAAUGCGCAGAUAUCAGGAGGAACACCAAUAGCGAAGGCAGCUCGCUGGGACGUUACUGACACUGGGGCGCGAAAGCGUGGGGAGCGAACAGG
rnacentral:rRNA from 1 species